ACGGCUCAGUAACACGUAGUCAACCUAACCUAUGGACGGGAAUAACCUCGGGAAACUGAGAAUAAUGCCCGAUAGAACACUAUACCUGGAAUGGUUUGUGUUCCAAAUGAUUUAUCGCCAUAGGAUGGGACUGCGGCCUAUCAGUUUGUUGGUGAGGUAAUGGCCCACCAAGACUAUUACAGGUACGGGCUCUGAGAGGAGUAGCCCGGAGAUGGGUACUGAGACACGGACCCAGGCCCUAUGGGGCGCAGCAGGCGAGAAAACUUUGCAAUGUGCGAAAGCACGACAAGGUUAAUCCGAGUGAUUUGUGCAAAACGAAUCUUUUGUUAGUCCUAGAAACACUAACGAAUAAGGGGUGGGCAAGUUCUGGUGUCAGCCGCCGCGGUAAAACCAGCACCUCAAGUGGUCAGGAUGAUUAUUGGGCCUAAAGCAUCCGUAGCCGGCUCUGUAAGUUUUCGGUUAAAUCUGUACGCUUAACGUACAGGCUGCCGGGAAUACUGCAGAGCUAGGGAGUGGGAGAGGUAGACGGUACUCGGUAGGAAGUGGUAAAAUGCUUUGAUCUAUCGAUGACCACCUGUGGCGAAGGCGGUCUACCAGAACACGUCCGACGGUGAGGGAUGAAAGCUGGGGGAGCAAACCGGAUUAGAUACCCGGGUAGUCCCAGCUGUAAACUAUGCAAACUCAGUGAUGCAUUGGCUUGUGGCCAAUGCAGUGCUGCAGGGGAGCCGUUAAGUUUGCCGCCUGGGAAGUACGUACGCAAGUAUGAAACUUAAAGGAAUUGGCGGGGGAGCAC
rnacentral:rRNA from 1 species